GAUUCUGCCCUACGGGGAAGGAUAAGAACCUUCGACUAAGGUUCGACUCGAGCGCCAGCGAGAGAACGUUGCCACAGGCAACGGCCCGAAGGGCGAGGAGCGAUAGCGACGAGUUAUCCUUCCCCCAGCACCA
rnacentral:sRNA from 1 species